rnacentral:rRNA from 1 species
AUUGAACGCUGGCGGCAUGCCUUACACAUGCAAGUCGAACGGCAGCACGGGUGCUUGCACCUGGUGGCGAGUGGCGAACGGGUGAGUAAUACAUCGGAACAUGUCCUGUAGUGGGGGAUAGCCCGGCGAAAGCCGGAUUAAUACCGCAUACGAUCUACGGAUGAAAGCGGGGGACCUUCGGGCCUCGCGCUAUAGGGUUGGCCGAUGGCUGAUUAGCUAGUUGGUGGGGUAAAGGCCUACCAAGGCGACGAUCAGUAGCUGGUCUGAGAGGACGACCAGCCACACUGGGACUGAGACACGGCCCAGACUCCUACGGGAGGCAGCAGUGGGGAAUUUUGGACAAUGGGCGAAAGCCUGAUCCAGCAAUGCCGCGUGUGUGAAGAAGGCCUUCGGGUUGUAAAGCACUUUUGUCCGGAAAGAAAUCCUUGGCCCUAAUACGGUCGGGGGAUGACGGUACCGGAACAAUAAGCACCGGCUAACUACGUG